UUAAGAAAAGCGAAUAAAAGCAGUCGAUCUGCUGGUUCAUAGCGAAACAAAUGGAUUGCUCCACCAUGGUGAGUGGGACAGUGCUUGAGGUCAAUCUGCUUAAAAAAAGAGCAAUCAGGAAAUGCUGCGUGAGGAUUAAAGUUGUCGUCGUGUCUUGAACAAACUGCACAGCAAAGACACCAGACAUCGCUUGGCCCCAUACAUCAGGAGGGGUUUGGACUAAGCCAAAACAUUGUUUUGCAAGCACCAGUGUGUCAGAAGAUAAACAGAAGCUGCCAGGGGCAGUGUCCUGCCCUGCGGCCUCAGAACUUCAGCCAGGCAAGUUGCUGCAUUUGUCCGGCAUUUCUGGAUGUACCAUUGACGGUGAGACCUACUGC
rnacentral:lncRNA from 1 species